AUUGAACGCUGGCGGCAGGCCUAACACAUGCAAGUCGAACGAGUGGCGGACGGGUGAGUAAUGUCUGGGAAACUGCCUGAUGGAGGGGGAUAACUACUGGAAAUGGUAGCUAAUACCGCAUACUAUCGGAUGUGCCCAGAUGGGAUUAGCUAGGAGGUGGGGUAAAGGCUCACCUAGGCGACGAUCCCUAGCUGGUCUGAGAGGAUGAACAGCCACACUGGAACUGAGCCACGGUCCAGACUCCGACGGGGGGCAGCAGUGGAGAAUAUUGCGCAAUGGGGGCAAGCCUGAUGCAGCCAUGCCGAGUGUAUGAAGAAGGCCUUCGGGUUGGAAAGUACUUUCAGCGGGGAGGCGUUACCCUCAGAAGAAGCACCGGCUAACUCCGUGCCAGCAGCCGCGGUAAUAC
rnacentral:rRNA from 1 species